rnacentral:rRNA from 1 species
CCUACGGGAGGCAGCAGUAGGGAAUCUUCCACAAUGGGCGAAAGCCUGAUGGAGCAACGCCGCGUGAGUGAUGAAGGCCUUCGGGUUGUAAAACUCUGUCAUUCGGGACGAACCGGAGUCUGAGGAAAUGCAGACUCUCUGACGGUACCGGAGGAGGAAGCCCCGGCUAACUACGUGCCAGCAGCCGCGGUAAUACGUAGGGGGCAAGCGUUGUCCGGAUUCACUGGGCGUAAAGCGCGCGCAGGCGGUGAUGUAAGUCUGAGGUGAAAACCCGAAGCUCAACUUCGGGACUGCCUUGGAUACUGCGUCACUUGAGGAUAGGAGAGGCAAGGGGAAUUCCACGUGUAGCGGUGAAAUGCGUAGAGAUGUGGAGGAACACCUGUGGCGAAGGCGCCUUGCUGGCCUAUUUCUGACGCUGAGGCGCGAAAGCGUGGGGAGCAAACAGGAUUAGAUACCCUGGUAGUCCACGCUGUAAACGAUGAGUGCUAGGUGUAGGUGGGGCUCAUACCCAUCUGUGCCGAAGCUAACGCAUUAAGCACUCCGCCUGGGGAGUACGGUCGCAGACUGAAACUCAAAUGAAUUGACGG